GAUCAUGGCUCAGGACGAACGCGGCGGCGUGCCUAAUACAUGCAAGUCGAACGCUUCUUUCCUCCCGAGUGCUUGCACUCAAUUGGAAAGAGGAGUGGCGGAUGGGUGAGUAACACGUGGGUAACCUACCCAUCAGAGGGGGAUAACACUUGGAAACAGGUGCUAAUACCGCAUAACAGUUUAUGCCGCAUGGCAUAAGAGUGAAAGGCGCUUUCGGGUGUCGCUGAUGGAUGGACCCGCGGUGCAUUAGCUAGUUGGUGAGGUAACGGCUCACCAAGGCCACGAUGCAUAGCCGACCUGAGAGGGUGAUCGGCCACACUGGGACUGAGACACGGCCCAGACUCCUACGGGAGGCAGCAGUAGGGAAUCUUCGGCAAUGGACGAAAGUCUGACCGAGCAACGCCGCGUGAGUGAAGAAGGUUUUCGGAUCGUAAAACUCUGUUGUUAGAGAAGAACAAGGACGUUAGUAACUGAAC
rnacentral:rRNA from 1 species